GCGUGGAUUAUGUUGUUUAAUUCGACGCAACGCGAAGAACCUUACCAGGCCUUGACAUACUCGGCAAAGCUCUAGAGAUAGAGUGGAGGCUAUCCGGGAUACAGGUGGUGCAUGGUUGUCGUCAGCUCGUGUCGUGAGAUGUUGGGUUAAGUCCCGCAACGAGCGCAACCCUUGUCUUUAGUUACCGUCAUUCAGUUGGGGACUCUAGAGAGACUGCCGGUGAUAAACCGGAGGAAGGUGGGGAUGACGUCAAAUCAUCAUGCCCCUUAUGGCCUGGGCUACAAACGUAAUACAAUGGCGUAUACAAAGGGAUGCGAAAGGGCGACCUGGAGCAAAACUCACAAAGUACGUCUCAGUUCAGAUUGGAGUCUGCAACUCGACUCCAUGAAGGCGGAAUCGCUAGUAAUCGCGGAUCAGCAUGCCGCGGUGAAUACGUUCUCGGGGUUU
rnacentral:rRNA from 1 species